rnacentral:tRNA from 1 species
GCCUAAGUGGCUCAGUCGGUUGAGUGUCAGACUUUGGCUCAGGUCACGAUCUCACAGUUUGUGGGUUCAAGCCCUGCAUUGGGCU